CAGGUACAGAGGGCAGCUACCCAGCGAUGGGAUGCGAAUCUCGAAAGCCUGUCUCAGUUCGGAUUGGAGGCUGAAACCCGCCUCCAUGAAGUUGGAUUCGCUAGUAAUCGCGCAUCAGCCAUGGCGCGGUGAAUACGUUCCCGGGCCUUGUACACACCGCCCGUCAAGCCAUGGAAGCUGGGGGUGCCUGAAGUUCGUGACCGGAAGGAGCGACCUAGGGCAAAACCGGUGACUGGGGCUAAGUCGUAACAAGGUACC
rnacentral:rRNA from 1 species